UCUCUGCUGCUCACCUCAGACCUCGUCUCUUUACUACAGAUUCAACGAAAACUUCAUAACUCUAGACCUGCUUAGAAUUAGAUUCUAACAGUUGGGGGCUCGUCCGGCGACAGGGGGGUGAGCCUCCUCCCGACAGAACCGGAGACCGAAAUUCGAACACCGCAGAUCGGGGAGGACCUACAGAAAGGGGUAAGUGUCGCGAUAUUUCUAAUAAAUUUGAAAUACAGCGCUUACCCCUGUAGAGUCCCAGUAGGACCCAUAUCUUGUGCUCGAGACAAGAUCGGUCAGUUUCACUCGGCCCACGUGGGGCAGGUGGCCCAGAAAUUGCCACCGUUGGCUAAUUGAUUUACGAAUUAAUUGCUAGUAACGAAGUGAUAGUCGCUCACGAGUAAAAGAAAGAAAUAAAUUGACAACGAGUGAUUUCUUGUCAAUUAAAUUUCACGGGUGCGGUAAUCGAGAUUACCAGCACAUGCAGCAUUGACUGUGUACGGAGCGAGGUCAAAUAUACAGUUAGAGCUCGCUGUAUAUUUGAGAUCGCGGUGUUAUUGUUAUUCGUUAUUGUUGAGUAAUCAUCAACGAAACGUUGAAUUGAAUAUAAAACGAGCAUUGCCCACUAUCAAAGAAAUUUAUUAAAACUAUAUGAAUAACAUUUAUGACAUUUUAUGAAAACUGGAUUUUUGCAAAUUUCAAAUAAUUUGCCAAACUAAUAUAUAACUUCUAAAGAACGAAACGAUACGUAAAUGUAUUGAGGCUGAGUAGAGGAGCACAGAAAACCUGGGUGUUUGUCAAUUGCUUAUUUGUGCUUAUUGCUGUUUGCUUGUUAUUGCUGCUAUUAUUUGUUUACAUUGUGUUGAAGAUGGGUGAUUCUGCCACGGCCAGGCAAAAGCCUGAUGAAUUUAUGUAUACAAAUAAUAAAGGUUUUUAUGUUGAACUGUACAUCACUUAGCGGUUAGUAAUAUAAUAACUUUGCAUUGAAAACCCCCAACGCAAGAUGCGCUGCCAUAUUUUAUGUCGAAUAGUACCAGCCGAAGUUUAUCGUCCCCACAAAUUGCUGUAAAAUACGUGAAUGUUUUGCAAUCUCACAAAAGGUAUGAACACGUCACAGGGGCAGAUUUGUGCUAUUUUGUUGAAAAUUGGAGAGCGAUGUAAAAAAAAAAAAAAAACAUAACUGAUACGUGCCGCUGUCUGAUUCGGGAAAACCAUGUGACUGGAGGUGAGGGGACUGCAGCCUCUCGUAAUCCACUCACACGGGAAGAUCAUGAAUAUCAUGAUAUGCUUUUUUGAUCAGCUGCGCGUUUUUCUAGAUAAACGGUUUGGCAUUUGCCAGUAUUUAUCAUUUGCAUUAAACGGAAAGAUAAAGCCAAAUGAAACUGCCUCUGAAUUUUGCACACGUUUUAAAGUAUUAUGAGUUUAUUCUAGAUUACCGAUUGACAAAGUCUGAGUGCGCUGUUACAAAUAUGCUGUUGAACAAUAUGAAUCGUAGGUACCGGUAAGUGAAAUCUGUUGAAUAUGAAUGUGAAUAGACUGAUUUGUGAGUCUGAUGCAUCUGGUGAACAUGCUAUGUUUUCAGUGCAAGUCUCAUCGAACGGGAAAAAGCUUGCUUAAGCACCGGAAAGGAAGAUUUGAUAUAAUGUGUUAUUAUGUGGACAAAGGGGCCACAUGAAAUGUGACUGUCGUUCAAAGGGGGGUGCAAUUUUAUUCCAAGGGUGCCACCACGUAGACAGUCAAUGCAACAGCCAAAGCAAGUGCAUCAGAAACUAUCUGACAGUAAUUACCAGACAAACUGGCAUAACAAAACACAAUGAAAUGUUCUGACCCAUUACACCACCUCUGGAGACAUACAGUGAUCCUCUGCCUAUGGGGGGAGGAAGUGAGAAGGCCGACCAAGACCCAGUAGUCGCCCGCAUACCACAUGAUGUAGAAACCUUGAUUAACCCAUGCCUAUGAACUCAGUCAAACAAUGAUACAGGUUAUAUUGAUAUGAAACCAUACAAAGUUAAACUUAAACCUGUGUACAUCAAACAAUAUCCUUUGUCAAAAGAAAAGGAAGAUGGCAUUAAACCUAUUAUUCACCAUUUUGUUUAACAGGGUGUCCUCGUACCUACUCGCCAUACAACACACCGAUUAACCCGGUGGUGAAUGCUGAUGGAAAGACAUAAUGUCUUACACAAGAUUUAAGAGCACUCAAUAAACUGAUAAUUCCUCUGUCUCUGAUUGUUCCAGAUGUGCCGACUGUUAUAAAUUUUAUACCAUGCACACAUAAGUAUUUCUGUCAUUGAUUUGUGUGCUGCUUUUGUUUCUCUGUUCCAGUGCAUCCAGACACACAGCCACUGCUAGCCUUAUAGGAUAGGCGGUGCAAAAAAAACUAAGAAGGGUAUGUUGACUCACCAUCCGUCCUCUCCGCUGCGGUGAAAAAAAAAGACAUUGAGAAAAAAAAAGAUCAACUUGCUGUUUUCGGGUUUGCUGUCUGCUGUAUGCCGAUGACCUCAUGGUCUCUGCUCUGACUGAAAAGAACUGUGAGGAAGCCUCCAUUAUCGUCUGCAAUAUUUUGGUGGACGCUGGUUUCAAAGCAUCAAAAGAAAAGUUCGGUGGGUCAAGCAAAAGUUCUCGUACCUGGGUCACGUCAUAAUGCCAGGUGUUCGAAAAAAAACCUCCACAGAUCAGGUUGAACUGAUCCGGAAGAUGUAAUUCACACAAACUGUGUAACAGCUCCAAAGUUUUCUGGGGUUAAUAAACUGUUGUCGCUCAUGGAAACCUGAGUGUGCUGCCCAUGACGGACAUUUGCGGAGCACGAUUGAUCACAAGGCAUCGCCUGCAUCACUGAUAUGCUGGACUGAUGAAGCAGAGACUCAUUUCAUGGCACUGAAACACGCCAUUACUACGGCCCCAACUCUGGGCCAUCCGAACUAUGCAAGGACUUUUCACCUGCAUGCGUGAGAGGCGAAGGGUGUGGCUCUGGGUAUCCUUUGGCAACAACAAGGUUGCACUUAUAGGCCAGUGGCAUAUCUGUCUAGAAAACUAGAUAAUGUAGUAACAGGUAUGCCUGAAAUGUCUUUAUGCAGUGGCUGCUGAUGUUCUGUUUGUACAGGUGGCUGAGAGAACGGUGCUGUCACAGUCAAUGACUCUACACAUCACAUCAAGUUGGUGCAUUUUUACACAACACAGGACGGCACAGAGGCGAUAUGGGUAUGAGGCUACGCUGUUGGCAACCAAAAA